GAUGAACGCUGGCGGCGUGCCUAAUACAUGCAAGUCGAGCGAACAGACGAGGAGCUUGCUCCUCUGACGUUAGCGGCGGACGGGUGAGUAACACGUGGAUAACCUACCUAUAAGACUGGGAUAACUUCGGGAAACCGGAGCUAAUACCGGAUAAUAUAUUGAACCGCAUGGUUCAAUAGUGAAAGACGGUUUUGCUGUCACUUAUAGAUGGAUCCGCGCCGCAUUAGCUAGUUGGUAAGGUAACGGCUUACCAAGGCAACGAUGCGUAGCCGACCUGAGAGGGUGAUCGGCCACACUGGAACUGAGACACGGUCCAGACUCCUACGGGAAGCAGCAGUAGGGAAUCUUCCGCAAUGGGCGAAAGCUUGACGGAGCAACGCCGCGUGAGUGAUGAAGGUCUUCGGAUCGUAAAACUCUGUUAUUGGGGAAGAACAAAUGUGUAAGUAACUAUGCACUUCUUGACGGUACCUAAUCAGAAAGCCACGGCUAACUACGUG
rnacentral:rRNA from 1 species